CCUACGGGGGGCUGCAGUGAGGAAUAUUGGUCAAUGGGCGAGAGCCUGAACCAGCCAAGUCGCGUGAGGGAAGACGGCCCUAUGGGUUGUAAACCUCUUUUGUCGGGGAGCAAAAAGCGGUACGCGUAUCGCUCCGAGAGUACCCGGAGAAAAAGCAUCGGCUAACUCCGUGCCAGCAGCCGCGGUAAUACGGAGGAUGCGAGCGUUAUCCGGCUUUAUUGGGUUUAAAGGGUGCGUAGGCGGCGAGUUAAGUCAGCGGUAAAAUUUCGGGGCUCAACCCCGAAAUGCCGUUGAAACUGGUUGGCUAGAGAGGACGAGAGGUAGGCGGAAUGUGUGGUGUAGCGGUGAAAUGCAUAGAGAUCACGCAGAACACCGAUUGCGAAGGCAGCAUACC
rnacentral:rRNA from 1 species